UAUAGGAUACCCACCCGUUUAUCAACAAAAAGAAAGAAUGUAGAGAGGGUGAGCGUUGUUGUUGAGCAGAAGAGAAGAGAAUUGAAUCCAUUCCAGAUGUCAUAUUGUUGGCAAAUACACACUUUGGCGAGCAAGGCUCUUGUUCCAAUUCCACAGUCACAGUUUCAGUCAUUGUUUUUUCCUUAUUCACAUUCCCAUAGCAGUAUCCGUCUGGGUCUGAGUCGGAGGGUUCUUUGUUCAGGGCUUCAGGAAAUGUCCGUCGUAGAGUCAUCCUCACAAUACCAGUAGCAGCAGCAGAGCACCACCACCGACUACUAUCCCAGUGUCAGAGAUGAUGAAGAAGGUGAAGGAAUUUCUAAAAUACAUCCCUGUUUCCAAGUCCCAACUCCUAGACGCCAUCAUCCUCUCUAUCCAAGAUGAUAUUGAUGCCCAUCACUUUCGUCUUCUCACCUCAUGCUUAGACUCUAUACUUCAUGCCGAGCAUAAAACUAUCUUAGAGGAGAUGCGUUCCGAUUAUCAACUUACAGAUUCACUCCAACAACUUGUGUCCAAUCCCAAUGUCAAGGAGGAAGGGAACCUCUAUGACUAUCAGCCUGCUUUGGACCUCACCGCUCUUUUACGAUCUCUCGACAUACCUACCAAGAAAGAUUAUGAUACGGGCUCCAGAGUUACCAUUGCUACCCGUUUCCAACGUGCUUUCAUGCAGCUUCUUUCAAAUGCACAAUUUGAAGAACUAUCAGCUAGGGACCUGAUGUUAACGUCUGCAUUGAACACAGACUAUCUCCUUACCUUGCCAGUAUAUGUUGAUUGGAAGAGGGCAUAUGAGUCUAAUGCCAUAAUAUUUAGGCGUGGCUAUGCAACUGAGAAGCAGAAGGGCCUAUUAAUUGUUGAAAAACUGGAUUACUUACAGUCUAAGUUUCUUCGAAGAACCUUCUUUGCUAUAUCAGAACCACUAACAAAACUUGGCACCUGGAUAAGUGAGCUUUACGAAAAUGCCAGUCAGAAACAUGAAGUACAAAAUUGGACAGAAAGAUUGAGGCUUUGGCUAAAGGAAUUGUCAGUAUUUCAGAAAUCACUACUUUAUAAUGACCCUGCUUCAGAUGAGCAAAUAGGUGAGGACCAAGUACCAAAUGUAGAACUUCCUAUUUGGCUGGCAGCUCAAAGGGCAGUAGCUCGAUAUGAAGGGAUUUUGUCACCAGUUGGUCCCCGUUAGGAGAUUGCUUUCUUGGAUAGGACUUAUUCCCCCUAUGCCAGAAACACCUUUUGAGGUUCACAAUGAUAAUAACGCUCCUGAACCUUACCUAAGGACCCCUGAAACUCACUCUCAAGUCUCAACAAGUCUUAAAUGAACCAUGAACAAUCAAGAUAAGCUGCCACAAAGGAAAGGACCUGUGAUUAACCGGGUAUGAUUUGUUGGUUUGGAGUUUAAAUUUCACAAGCCUGAAGUUCUCAGUUUGAAACCUGCAACAUCCAAAAAAAACCCGGGUAUUCUCAUGAGAACAUCAAGUAACAAGUCAAAAAGUUAUAAAAAUUCAUUCAGCUCUCCAAUUUUUUUAGUGCAUAGGUUUCCACUAUAUUCAGGCAAAAGUAGAAUUGUCUUGAACCUAAGGGGUUUGGUUUAAGUGUUUAUUUUCUGAAAAUAAUUUUUGUUUUUAAAUUUUCCAGAUUUAGAAAACAUGUAUUGAGAAGAAAGUAGUUUUCACUUCUUCACAAAA